UGGGCAAUGGGCGAAAGCCUGACCCAGCAACGCCGCGUGAGGGAUGAAGUAUUUCGGUAUGUAAACCUCGAAAGAAUGGGAAGAAUAAAUGACGGUACCAUUUAUAAGCUCCGGCUAACUACGUGCCAGCAGCCGCGGUAAUACGUAGGGAGCAAGCGUUGUUCGGAUUUACUGGGCGUAAAGGGCGCGUAGGCGGCGCGGUAAGUCACUUGUGAAAUCUCUGAGCUUAACUCAGAACGGCCAAGUGAUACGGCUGUGCUAGAGUGCGGAAGAGGCAACCGGAAUUCUUGGUGUAGCGGUGAAAUGCGUAGAUAUCAAGAGGAACACCUGAGGCGAAGGCGGGUUGCUGGGCCGACACUGACGCUGAUGCGCGAAAGCCAGGGGAGCAAACG
rnacentral:rRNA from 1 species